AAGCUUCACAGCAAAAAAUAAUGUAAUGUGCAUCGAUGUAAUCAUAGCGAUUUACUAAAAAACACGAUGUAACCGAAAAUUUGUUAUACAAAAUAACGUUGAUUCAAUGUAAUACUACACCACUCUAUGAAUUACACAAAAUCUAAAUCAUCAUUUCUCUUUACGUAUAACUUGUGUAAUAUUAAAUACCAACAUAAAUUAAUAUUACAUACAAAUAAAUGCAACCCAUCGAUUCUAUAAUGUAUUGUGUUUUAUCACACAGAAUGGAUGUAAUUUCACAUUCAUUAAAAUUGAAAUUUACAAUCUCGCAACACUGCCUACACUGACGUGCUGCAUGCAUCAAAGUAAAUAGUUGGUGCGCCAUGUUUGUUUCGAGGUUUCGAGCCUCGAGCUCUGUUUGAGCAAAAGUUUUUUUCCUUUUCAUUUAUAAAUUAUUUGCCCUUUCACCGACUCCAGCCUCAACAAUAACAACUGCUCUGCCAUGCCCUACUCCAGCUGCUUAAAAUCACCGCACAUUCAACACCCUGUUCGUCUUCAAACUGUGCAGGCUGGACCGGGGGGGAACCACUUCCUCUAGGGCUACAUGUUGCAUGAAGCCGAUGAAGCAUUUGCCUUGCCAAUCCAACUUUGUUGCGGUCACCGAAGUGCUCGGCCUGAUAAUGCAUCUGGCAGUCGACAAUUUGCCCGUCGCUCGUCUACCACGGCUUACCAGUUCUUUCAUCACGCAGGUCAUCGUCGAAACCAAAUCGCUGGCCGUGCCCCGUGCCCUGUCUCAGCGCUCAGGUAACGCUACCAAACUGUAGGCGGUUCUUUCGUAGGGGAUUGAUAGAAUCAUGUUGCUGAAGUGCGGAAGUUGCCAACGCUGCAAUUGUUUGACGACAUCUAACGGUACCGACUUUUUGUACCGCUCCGGAACUGGAGAAUUUCAAUUGAGCAGCCACUCACCUUCGGCCAUACACUGGAUCCAAAGUUUGUUCGAUUACGCUGCUGAAUAUUGCCGUUAGAUGGACGAACGGUCAGGACAACAAAUCAUAAUUUAUGAUCAUCGACAGUGAAAUUUACCAUUCUACAAUCUGCGCACCAUGCCGCUUCUGCUAAAUGAAAAAAAUAGGUUUAAAUCGGCAUAAAUCGUAUUAUGUUUUGUUUAAAUUCCGAUAGAAAUAACAUGAAUAAUUAAAUAACAAUUUAAAUGCAAAUGUU